rnacentral:lncRNA from 1 species
CGGUCUGUCUCCUUCUCUCCAGUGAACUGCGGUCGACCAGAAGCGGAGUUUAAUUCGGUGGUCUACGGCAACGACUGGUGGGUGGGAUCUGUAGUGCGUUACCGCUGCCGAGCAGGGUUCCUGCUGGUGGGCGACCCAGCCAGCGCUUGCCAGUCCAGCGGCUACUGGACCCCCAAGCCAACCUGCCUCCGGAUCUGCCUCCGGGGCCGGAUCGAGAUCAACGAGCGGGACAUUGACGGGAGCUGCUCCUCCACCUGCCCCACCAAGGCCCACCUGGGGGCCCUGCUCAACCACGGCUGCAUCAAGAUCUCCGCCUGCGUCACCAAGCAGUCCGGCUGGACCCGCUGGUUCUCCCGCUGCGACUUCUGCGAGUGCGACUGCUACGUCCCCUGCUGUAAGCACUCCGCAAAGAGCAGGGCAGUUGAGAGUCGCGGAAUCGGAAUAGAUCCCAAGGGCCAUCCGGUGCAAGUCUGCCAGGGAGGAAGACACAAGCAAAGCCCUCCCGGCAGAUGGCCAUCCAGGCUCUUCUUGAAAACCUCCAGAGAAGGAAGGAGACUCCCCUAAACUCCUAGGCAGUAGCUUGUGAAUGCAUGACUUACUGAAUCCAAAGAUUCAAUAAGUCAUUCAUUUGGCCCCAAACCAUUCCGCUAGGCAGGAUGGCACCAUCUAAUCCCUCCCAGCAGAUAGCCAUCCAGCCUCCACUUUAAAACCUCCAGAGAAGGAGGCUCCAACAGACUCCUAGGCAGUUAUUAGAAAGGAUCCCUAAAUGCCCUCCAGUUCAACCCCCUUCUACCGGUAGGGUGACACAAAGCCCUCCCAGUAGAUGGUCAUCCAGCUUCUGCUUCAAAAGCUCCAGAGAAGGAGACUCCACUACCUUUCCAAUACAGCGUAUUUAUAGAAUCCAUGGGUUGGAAGAGACCCCAUGGGCCAUCCAGUCCAACCCAUUCUUCCAGGUAGGAAAAGCACAAUCAAAGCCCUCUCAACAGAUAGCCACCCAGCCUCUGUUUAAAGACCACAGCUCUUACUGUCAAAACAGCAAGAUGCCACAUGCUAAUGGUCCUUAAUCUUUGGUUGCCUAGAAGUGGUUGGAUUUACCAGAAUCCUCUUCUUACCUUGUCUAACCAUUGGUAGGGGAUUCUGGGACCUGGAGUCCCAAACACCAGGAGAUUCAAUACUGAGAACUAUAGCUCUGUGAUAAUAAAAUUGGGUCCAAGAAAAGAGGGAUCCGGCGAUGUAUGCAUUGACCCAAGCAAUGUAGUUUUUGCAUAACGUGUCCUUGCUGCUUUCUCAAAUGGACAGCUAACCUCACCGAGAUUGAUGGGAGUUGUAGUCCAGGAAGCAGGUUGGGGAAAACUGUGUAAGAAUAGUGAUAGUAACAAUGGGUAGGAAUGAGUUCCGAAUUCAAAGCGCGUCCUCCUUUUCCUUUGCAGCUUCAUCGCGAUAAAAGCCAAAGAAAUUGUGAUAUUGCGAUACACCGAUUUCUAGGUAAGUGUUAAGAAACAUAUCUAUUCCAACAAAUUGAAAAUCAAAAAUCAGUAGAGUCUCCUUAUCUGAGGGUUUUUAAACAGAGGCUGGAUGGCUAUCUGUCAGGAGGGCUUUGGAUGUGUAUUACUUCAUGGCAAAAUGGGGGUUGGACUGGAUGGCCUUGGGGGUUCCCUUCCAACUCUAGGAUUCUAUGAUGUUUCAGAAAAUCCCAGUGUAGCUGUUGAGAGCCAUAGCUCAAGGAUGUUGUUGUUGUUUUUGUUGUUUUUAUGUUGAAGGCAGUGUGAUCCCACUUCAACUCCCACGGGUCAUUGCUAUAGAAUCCUUGCAAACCUGAAAAGACAGAGGAAGAAAAACUCUUGUCACAUGAUGUUGCAAAAACAUGCCUUUAAAAAAAUUAUUGGUAUAUAUAAUAAUUAAAUAACAACGAAAGAGUGAGAACAAUGGUUUUUGACAGAAAGUAAAGAAAAAAAAGAAGAGAAGAGAAAACAGAGAAAAAGAAAAGAAAAAGAAAAAAAUAUAAAAAUAAAAAUAUUGUAAUAAAAAUAAUAUAUAUAUAUAUAUAUAUAUAUAUAUAUAUAUAUAUAUAUAUAAUAAAAAUAAAGUGAAAAUGAUAAAAAUGACUUCCAUCUUCGCCUUUGCGUUUCCCAUUCUAUAUAAACAAAAGAGGGUGAUACAAAAACCAAUAUUGAGUCAGCCUCUUUUUCUGUAGUAAUAGGGACAAACUCGAAAAAAAAGAUGUUGUCCUUUAUAUUGGCUUAGUCCUUGAUUCUUUGCUUUACAAAUAGCUAACGAAGAAACAUGCCUUUUUUAAAACCCCAAAUUAAAUAUCCUUGAAAGGUCACCUUGUCGCCCAACUAUGAUGAAGGGAAAUCUCAGUCUCCGUCUACGUCAAAUAUUGGAGAUGGGUGGCGCAUGCGAAAUACACACGAAGCCUCUUGACUUGAUUGGGAAAUGGACAAGAAGAGAAAACUGUAGUGUUAUUUUACAUUAUUUGAACCGGAUUCGAUUUGUGUGGUUUCAUCUAUUCUAUUCUAUUAUUCUAUUUUAGACUUUUUGUUAUCAAGCUACGGUAACCUCCCUCAUGAUUUAUAGUUCACCAAGAGCUAACAAAUAAAUAUAUGUGUUAAAACUUUAUUAAAACUUUAUUCAGAGGUUCCGAUGUUGCAGAAGUUCAAGGUGUCCGAAGAUCGAGAACACACCCAGCAGCAGCUGUACCCCCAUCAGUUAUAUAAUUUCUAAUCCUUCAAUAAAUUAUGUAUAUUUUAUAGUUUUUGUGUAACGUAUCCUUCAGUUGUAUACCAUAUCUAUUCCUUAUAUAGAAAGUAUCUAAACCACUUUAUAGAAAUGUAUUGAAAUGUAGCUUAGAAACGGCCACCCCUCCAUGAUCCUGCUAAAUAAUCCCCUAGGAAUAGAGAAGUUGGGCAAAUUCCUCUGGCUAUUUCCCAAGACAGAUAAUCACCAGGUUCGUUGUGUUUAUGUACAGAUAGGCUACUUCCCUGGCCAGCCAGAUAAGCCAGAUAUUUAUGGAAUUCAUCUUAGGGGAAAUUUGUAUUUACUGCUGUUAAAUAAACUGAAUGACGGCAGGAAAAGUAAUGCAAUGUUUUCCAAAAAAUACUCCAUUGGCAACAGAAAAGAAAGCGAAUCCCAAGUACAGUAGAGUCUUAUUUAUCCAAGACUCACUUAUCCAAGGUUCUGGAUUAUCCAAGGCAUUUUUGUAGUCAAUGUUUUCAAUAUAUCAUAAUAUUUUGGUGCUAAAUUCGUAAAUACAGUAAUUACAACAUAACAUUACUGCGCAUUGAACUACUUUUUCUGUCAAAUUUGUUGUAUGACAUGAUGUUUUGGUGCUUAAUUUGUAAAAUCAUAACCUAAUUUGAUGUUUAAUAGUCUUUUCCUUAGUCCCGUCUUAUUAUCCAAGAUAUUCGCUUAUGGCCGUUUAGCUUGGAUAAGUGAGACUCUACUGUAGCUGAUGAUUUUUUCCCUUUUAUCACAGCAAGCCAAUGGACACAAGAGGGCAUACGAGAGCCAUAUGUCGGAAGGGAAACUGUGGAAUUAAUGCGGCUUGAUCUUGUGUAACUCACAAAAACUACAACCCCAAUGAUUCCACAACAGUCCAAAUGGUGUCAUCAAUCAGCACCAUUCAUUACCUUGUCUCCCAGGCAAGGUGACCAUAGAUGAAGUAGAUGAUGGAGAGAUCGGAGCAAAAGGCCUUCUGAGUCCCAAGGUUGUCCUCACGAUUGUCCAACAUGAAGUUGCAGAGCAUUACAAACUUAUGGGACAAAUCUCUGUCCACAAGGUGUUCUCCGUCUGUUAUCAACUCUGGGAACAUUAUUUUUGAUUAUUAAUACUAAUUAUCAAUAACUACUACCAUGUUUCCCCGAAAAUAAGACAGUGUCUUAUAUUAAUUUUUGCUCCCAAAGAUGCGCUAGGUCUUAUUUAGAGGGGAUGUCUUAUUUUUUCAUGAAGAAGAAUUCACAUUUAUUGUUGAACAAAAACAUGAACAUUUAUUAUAUACUGUAUAGUAGUUGUCCUCACAAACCAGCAUAACCAGACAAACUGUGAAUCCUAUCAAGAAUUUCUUGUUAUUACCAAUAUUUCCAUGUACAACACUCUAUGGUACGUACAUUUACCGAUCCUGGAUGCUUUGGUGUUCUGUUCGUUGGGCAUGCUUCCAAACAAAAACUUUGCUAGGUCUUACUUUUGGGGGAGGCCUUAUAUUUAGCAAUUCAGCAAAAGCUCUACUAGGUCUUAUUUUCUGGGGAUGUCUUAUUUUAGGGGAAACAGGGUAAUACCUGCUGUAUAUCCUAUCAGUCACAUUUCUAUCCUUUUGUUCUAACAAGCUCAAGGGAUGUUCCAGGGAGUGCUUUGAUGCGAUGACGAAUCAAUGCAGUUUGAACUGCCAUGGUUUAAGGCUAUGGAAUACUGGGAAUUGUAAUUUGACAAGUGUUUUAGUCCUCUGUGCCUAAGUGUGCCCAUGCCUCACUUAACAAAGAGUUUAUCUACAUUGUCAAUUUAAUGCACUUUAACUUCAAUGAGGCAGUGCUCUGGAGUGCUGGGAGUUGUAGUUUGGCGAGGCCCCAACACUCCGGCAGAGAAGGCUAAAGAGAUCGUAAACUACAGCUCUCCAUAGCAUUGAGUCAUUGCACUUAAAGCAGUGUCAAAUUGCAUUAAUUCUGUAGUGUGGAGGGAGUGGAUAUUUAUUUUUAUUUAUUUAUUUACAACAUUUAUACCCCGCCCUUCUCACCCGAGGGGACUCAGGGCGGCUUACAAAAAUUGGCAAAAUUUAAUGCCCAAAAUGCAAUCAUAAAAACAAAACAGCCUUAACCCUAUCCCUAAAAGUUACUACUCGUUUGUCUGUGUAUCACUUGUUGAGAAAAUCACAAUAAAAAUUACUUGACAAAAAAUAAUAAUAAUAAAAACAAAACAGUAUAAACAGAUCUAUUAAUAACAUUGUUAAAACACAUUAUAAAAACCUUAAAAACAUAUAUAUAAUUAAUUCCAUUUGUCCAAUAUAGGUGUUAUCGUAAAUUAGACUCCAAAAUUAUGAAUUAUGAAAGGGACAUACAGUAGAGUCUCACUUAUCCAACAUAAACGGGCUGGCAGAAUGUUGGAUAAGUGAAUAUGUUGGAUAAUAAGGAGGGAUUAAGGAAAAGCCUAUUAAACAUCAAAUUAGGUUAUGAUUUUACAAAUUAUGCACCAAAACAUCAUGUUAGACAACCAAUUCAACAGUACGUACGUUCUGUACGUAGUAAUGCUAUGUAGUAAUUACUGUAUUUACAAAUUUCGCACCAAUUUCGCACCAAAAUAUCACGAUGUAUUGAAACAUUGAUUACAAAAAUGCAUUGGAUAAUCCAGACGUUGGACAAGCGAGUGUUGGAUAAGUGAGAUUCUACUG